AGAUUGCCGAAGUCUUUACGACAAUAUAUAGCUAACGCAAUGACUUUAAAAAUGGAAACGCGCAUCAUUGUGCGGCAUAAAAUAUGCGAACAUUUUUAUUCUGUGUUCACGAUCAAUGAAACGCUAGAAUGUCUCGGCCAGACACGGAACGCGUAAACAACGAGUAAGAUAGAGGAAUUGGCAUUGUCCCGACCGCGGAGAUAUGUCGACGGGAACGGGAUUGCGCUCGCGGCAUUAUUGAUCGUGACAUUCCGUAGAAGGGAGCCAGUGGAUCGAUAUCGAGUAUUUCCUCAGAUGUCGCAGAGAAAGACAACAAGAACUUUAAACAACCUGGGAUGUUCCUUCCAAUGCAGAGCAGCUUCCGCGAACGAUUUAUUGUCCGCAUCAGUAAAGUAACUGUUGCAAAACUCGCAAUGAUACAACUUCGACGUUAGCAACUCCUCGAUCAACGUCACC